GCCGUCGCGCCGCUCACGUGUGAACCUGUAACCCCCAAAACCACACGGGGGUGAGAACUAUGUACAUAUAGUUCCCAGUGGGUAUGGCCACCCAAGGGAAAAGCUCGACCCACCAGGUCCAAGGAGGCACUGUAAUCAUGUUAGUCCAAUAGAUAUCUACAAGUAUUUUAUGCAAUAUUAAAAUACAUGAAUGUGCCUCAAAACAUGCAACAUGAAAUUCAUGCAACUAUGCAAGUAGAUUAAAUGGUUUUACUCUCUAUCAUUUGCCAAUUUUUUAUUGUUAGCCAUACUUUACUACUUACAAUACUUUCUUAUUAACCACUGUUUAUUCUUAGCCAUUCUUUACUCUUAGCUAUUCUUUAUUCUGUACUAAGGGUACUCACACCUUAACCAUAUUAUGCUCAUUUACCAUUCUUUCCUAAGAUUACUCUUACCUUAAUCACACUAUGCCACUCGACUCGGUCUUAAGUUAGUCAACUGCGGAUAAUCCGCGCUCAGUCCGGCUCGAGGUGAAGGAACUCUCACAUGCACCUCAGCCAACCACAACCUACCGCGCUCCAUGACUUAGCCACCCGGCGGCGAAAUCGUCGUACACGCCCAGCCAUGGCUCAAGUCAACUGGUGAUAUGAUCCACAAACCAGCUUAACCAUCCGGCGGCGAAAUCAUCGCACACGCCUCGACACCCCUCUCGGUGUGAUCCAUAAGUUCUGGGAUUCCGAAAUCCAUUUCACAUAGCUCAAGGGUUGGUCUUAACCCUAUAGUGUCGACCUAUCUAGGUCCAAUGUCCUUUCCAUCCUAGGUCCAUUUGACCCUAGAUUUAAUGCUUUUAUCACAUAACCUAGGUUUACAUGGUUCUAGGUUCAAUUCUCAACCUAUGUUCUUUAAAACUAGGUUCAAUGUCACUCUUGUCCAACCUAUGUUUGUUAAUACUAGGUUAAAUGCCACACUUGUCCAGCCUAGGUUCACAACUCUAGGUUCAAUGCUACUCGAUCUACUUGACACUCUACUUGUAAACAUCGAGUAUCAUAGUUUACACAUUCUUAUUUUCCAAUGUCGCAUUCUCUAAUACCCCUAGAGUUAUCAACCUAUGUUCAACUCAUGUGAAUCAAGUAUAAUAUACAACUUGCCAACUUGCAUAUUAUCAAGCAUUUUUAUCUUAUAUCAAUAUGCAUUUCAUCUAGCAUAUAUUACAACAUGCACAUCUCAAUUAGCAUUCUCUACAGCAUGUCAUUAUGCAUUCCGACUAGCAUGUUCUUAUAAUGUUUACAUGCAUAGGCCAUUUCUCUUAUGUUCUCAAACUAGCAUCAUUCACAUUAUGUCAUCAUGCAUUCUUUGGUAGCCUACUUAGCAUUCACCUCAUGCAUUCAUAUAUUUACCACUAGCUACCACUAUAUGCAUCAAUAUGAAAUCAUAUUUUUCUUCGACAUGAAGGCGAUCUAGUCACUUCGGUGAGCACAACCGACCUCAAAUCGCUUUCAGAUUGCUUGUAGUCACAUGCAAUCGGCCUCCCGCGGCACCCGUUGCCCGGUUCGGCCCGAACUCGCACUCGACCACCAAACGGCCACCAAUCCACAAUCCGAAAAUUAAAGGUCUAUAACUUGAUGCCACGAUGCUCCGGAUCCGUUCUCGUGAUUUUUGGACGUUGCCUCGGCCCUCC
rnacentral:lncRNA from 1 species